AAGAGCAGGCCUGUUAUCUGUCCACAUCGACGCUCUUUUCCCAUCUGUAAACAUUGGGCCGCUCUGAGGUUGACCCACAGCUACUGUCGUGACCUCGAGGUUACCCGCUUACAGGCGUGUGGAUGGAAAAAUCAUCACGUCUGGGCGUUAUCACUACGGGGUGGAAAAGUGAUGCUGAAUGGGAAACUGACGGGGGAACAGCGCAGGUUGGAUUUACACUCGGAGUGGAAAGAGCACAAUCAUGAUGGUGAGGACACACUCCCGCAAUCGUCCCACAACCUCCCUGUGUGUCAGGCCCCUGCUAAAAUCCCGUCAGUAUUUAAAGCAGAUUACAAAAGCGCCCUCACUGACGCUCGGAGGGAUUCUCUCACACACAAACACAACAGGAUUAGCAUGCAUGUUAAGAUUGACGGAAAAAAAAGGGGGGGGGGGGUGUUGGAGCAAGCCUCCGCUCCCGUGUCCGCUUUAAUGAGAAAAGAGGAUGUUCUUUAUCAAGACAAGGAGGAUCCGCAUAAUCAUAUUUUCCUAAGAAGUACUGACAAAUAGUGCAGAUUAAGAUUUAUCUUUUUCAUUUUUUCAAUUAUUCGGUUAAAUAGGUUUUGGUUCAAUCAUUUAGCGGUCGGUGUGUUAUGAUUGUUUCAAUAUCAUUCUGGAGAAAUGUAAAAACACAUAGAAAAGCUAUAUCAAAAAUAACACCUUUUCAAUGAUAAUGAUGUCUCGUGAGCAUUUAAUAAAACACUUCUAAGCAUAA